rnacentral:rRNA from 1 species
CCUACGGGAGACAGCAGUGAGGAAUAUUGGUCAAUGGACGCAAGUCUGAACCAGCCAUGCCGCGUGCAGGAAGACGGCUCUAUGAGUUGUAAACUGCUUUUGUACGAGGGUAAACGCAGAUACGCGUAUCUGUCUGAAAGUAUCGUACGAAUAAGGAUCGGCUAACUCCGUGCCAGCCGCCGCGGUAAUACGGAGGGUUCAAGCGUUAUCCGGAUUUAUUGGGUUUAAAGGGUGCGUAGGCGGUCAGGUAAGUUAGAUGUGAAAUCCCGAGGCUCAACUUCGGAAUUGCCUCUGAUACUGUUCGGCUAGAGAGUAGUUGCGGUAGGCGGAAUUUAUGGUGUAGCGGUGAAAUGCUUAGAGAUCAUGCAGAACACCGAUGGCGAAGGCAGCUUACCAGGCUACUUCUGACGUUGAGGCACGAAAGCGUGGGGAGCAAACAGGAUUAGAUACCCCUGUAGUC